GGGGGAAAGAGACGAGCAUAGGUUCCUCCCAAGAUGCCACCCGCUUCAUUCAAGUGCCUGGCAACACUGUGUUCCUGUUAGAGCCACCAGCACAAGCACCAGACGAUGCUGAUCCAGGUGAAGGCCCCAGUGCAGCAGCAACAGCACAUGAUGGAGACGAUGAUGAGGAGGAGACCAUCUCUCUGGAUUCCAGAAGGCAUGAGGUAUCAUGUUAAGACUGUGAAAGUACUAUUUACUCUACAAUGGUGAGGAGUCCUCAUCAAAAUCAAAAAAUCUAAUUUCUUUUACAGGACCCAGAUGCUAUACAGUGGGAAAACCAGCCUGGCAACAUAGUGCGUAUUAAUAAAAGGACACCACAUCCUGCCAAAUUCCAGCUGCGCUAAUUGUAUUGUGUUCACAGAGCUCACAAGCUAUCAGAAAGUUGUAUGGCAACCACCUCCGGCGCCAAAUAGAACUGGCAGACAUAGACAUUCAGUACAAGAAGAAAAAGAUGGAAAAUCUUGCACUGGAGUCCGAAAUAAAAAGAGGACAAUUAGGAAACUGGACCUUGAAAUAAAAAAACUUGAGAGGGAGCUCCAAGAAGAUGACACAGCUCAAAAUAAAAAUUAGGUAUAUUCUCGUAAAGUCAAGUGAGCCAUGACAUAUGAGCUCUUAUUGUGAGCACACAGGACGGUGGCAUCUUUCUAAGGUUUUUUUUAUUUUCCCAGCAAUCAGUACAACCAAGUCAUCGUUAUAAGGCAUCGCCCUCUUUUGCCCACCCCCCCAGCACCAGGUGUGGCCACUAGCCUAUAUGAAGGCCCAAAAUUGUGUGUUCCUUUCUGCUCUGACAAUGGCAUGCCCAUUCGUGCGAGAUGUGGUGGAUGAAGAAGCACUUGUGCUGAGGAGAGCCUUCAGGCGAGAAAGGGUCUUCAGGGACCGGUUGGACCCACUGGCCUUCCCUGAUGACCAUCUAUAUGAAAGAUACCUGAUGCCAUCUGCAGAAAACCUGUAUCUAUGCAGACUACUGGGUCCCAGGAUUAAGCACCGCACUGCACGGAGCCAUGCACUGAGUGUGGAGCAAAUGGUUUGUGUGGCCUUGCGCUUUUUUGCUAGUGGAGCCUUCCUGUACUCAGUGGGGGAUGCAGAACAGCUGAACAAGGCCACAAUUUGCCGCACAAUAAGGAGUGUGUGUCUGGCUAUCAAAGCAUUAGCAGAUGUCUUCAUCUCCUUCCCUGGCCACAGAAGACUCUGUGACAUCAAAGAGGAGUUCUAUAGGAUUGCAGAUGGUCUGCAAUGCUGACUGUGUGAUCAGCAAUGUUGUGGCAAAAUGGCCUGGCUCAGUCCAUGACUCCAGAAUCUUUCGGGCCUCUGAAAUCUAUCAGUGCCUAUCACAAGGUGAAUUCUCUGGUGUGUUGCUGGGAGACAGGGGUAUGGCUGCCAGCCUUUUCUCCUGACACCUUUCACAGACCCCAGGAAGCACAGCAGGCCUACAACCAUGCCCAUGCCAGGACCAGGGCCAGAGUUGAAAUGACCUUUGGCCUCCUGAAGGCACGCUUUCACUGCCUUCACAAAUUAAGGGUCAGCCCUGUUAGGGCAUGUGAUAUUACUGUGGCUUGUGCUGUCCUCCACAAUGUGGCCUGCCUGAGGAAGGAGAGGGCCCCCAGAGUGCCACCAGCCAUGGACUGGGACAAUCCGGCAAUCUUCCCUGAUGACGACAGUGGUCGGCUGCUGAGGGACCAAUAUGUGUUGAAUUAUUUUAGUUAGUAUGUGUGCUUUCAAUUUUGGUUAAAUAUGUCCUGCGGUGGCAGAGGAAUUUGGGUUUUUUUGGGUUCGUUUUUUGACGAAUUUGGCCUCUUAUGAUGUUUGUGCGGUAUACUGUGUGUAAUACAAGGCUGCAGGGAGGCUACUGCAUCCAUUCAUUUGUCUGUUCAGUUGAUGUGUAUGGAUUUGUCCUGCAUUUAUUUUAGUGUGCAGACAUGCAGGGUGUGUUAUAUACAGACCUUUGAAUGUGUAUGUAUCAUUUUGUAUAAUAUGCUUGGAUUCUGUGCUUUCCAUCUUGUAGAGUCACUGUGACUUCAGUUUCGAAAGGAGCUGAUGGUUUACCUGCUUUGUUUUGUCCUUAUUCAAUAAAGGAACAUAAUGUUACACAUUGUGUUUUUAUAUUCA